rnacentral:tRNA from 1 species
GCCGAAAAUAGCUCAGUUGGAAGCGUUAGACUGAAGAUCUAAGGUCCCUGGUUCAAUCCCGGGUUUUCGGCA